UCAAGCGACGAAGCAACCUCUGUACGAGAACUUCUGGGAUGUGCAUUUGUCUUGGGGAAAUUAGUGAUGUAUCUUUGAGAAGGAACGCUUGGUUUUCUUUGAUUAGUGAUGCUGUGUGGUUUUAUGGUUCAUUGCCUGAACAAUUUGUGCCCAACCAUGCAAGACAACCCCAAAUGCAGCCUAAAUCUGUGUACAUAAAUAUGAUGGAUCUGAGCUCUCUCGAAACCUAAUAUAUUGGGUCCAAUCUGCUGUUUUUUUAACUUGCUAAAAAAAGCUAUGUUUGGUGAUAUGCAAGAUUUGUAUUUUAUUUAAUAAACGAAGGUUGUUUUUGAAGUAUCUUUCAUAAAAAAAAAAAAGGUUGUUUGAAAUCUUGUUCAAGUAUAUCACUGAUACUUCACAAAAUCACCAAAAGUUUAUUGAAAAAUUCUUUUUUUAGUUCUAUGCAUUUUCAGUGCUUUCCCCAAAAUAGAGAUGUUGGUGCAUUCCACUAGAAUAUCUGGCAAUUACUUUUAUCUUAAAAUUUUUAUUAACAAGUCCCAUCAAGAGUUCUGUGUGUGUUCUUUGUGAUUUCUUCAGUUCAUAAUAUCUGUCUUGGCAGGUCAAAGAAGAGGAUGAUGCAAAUGCUGCACGGAAACUGCAAAUUAAUUUGAAGCAAAGGAGACAGAGAAAUCGAUGUUGUCAGAUUUUAUGGGAAAUUGGAACACCUAGGUACACUGGUUCUGGAACCACAUGGAUAAAGGCGCAGGCCUCCGCCUUUGAAUCGUUGGCCCAUUAUGAGGAUAUCAACUGAACUUGCUG